CCCCGCCCUGGGCCUGGUCGGCGGCGGCGGGCGGUCGAUGGCCGGGCGGCGGCGGCAUGCGGCUCCUGUUCCUGGCCGUGGUGCGGCGGCACACGGGCAACGCCGUCACGGCCGAGCGCGUCCGGGACCACCUGGAGGCUGCAGGCCACGUGUGUAUUCUGAAAGACGCCUCCGACUUGGAAAGCUCGUCCGAAAUCGCCAAGCUCAUCGAGGCCGAGAGCCUGGAGGCAGCACUGGCCCUUCAUCUGUACAGAGGAGGCAGACUUCUGCAAGGUCACGGGAUUCCCUUCGGAAUCAUCUUCGGUGGAACCGAUUUAAAUGAAGAUGUUAACCAUGGAGAGAAGAAGAAAGUGAUGGGGAAAGUCCUGGAAGAAGCCAGAUUUGCCGUCGCCUUCACAGAGUCAAUGAAGGAAAUGGCACAAACACAGUGGAAAGCAAGACAGAUUUCGUGGGCUGUCACCUGUGCAGCUGGCAGGACAGGAAUCGUGACAGGACCAAACUCUGCCUUUAACUGGAACACCUUUCUUCGCCAGUCAGGGAUUAACCAAAGUGCUGAUAAUUUACACAUCUUCCUCCUGGUGUGUGGGCUGAGACAAGUGAAGGACCCUCUCUAUCUGGUGGACGCGUUCUCAGAAUGGCACCGAGAAGAGCCUAACGUUUACAUGGUGAUCGUGGGUCCUGAAGUGGACCCAGUGUUUACAAGGGAAGUGGGAGCCAGAGUAAAGAGGGCUGCGGGCGUGCGGCUGAUCCGAGAGAUGCCCCAGGGGGACCUACACGCAGCGCUCAAGAACUGCUUCGCGGUGGUGAACAGCUCAGUCUCCGAGGGCAUGUCUGCGGCCAUCCUGGAGAUUCCUGACAAAUACUCCGGUGCUCAACCCAAGUUGGGGGAUGAACGUACCACUCGAGUAUGCAAGUGCUGUGGGGCCUGCCUGGGACAGAGGAACACGCUACGGAGCUCACCAUGCACCCUGACGUGUGGCUCACCUUCUUUCUGAACUCUGCCCUGACACGAGGCAGUGGGUGAAACAAGACAAUCUCAAAGGUCUCAUCCGUGUGGAGGAUUCGGCAGUUAGUUGACAAAUGUCUAGAAACGAAAUCACAGUGUGUUGCGUGAGUUUAACGAGCUAGCGACCUGCACUGUGUGACAAGCAGAGAGACAAGCCAUAUGACUCAUAGCUUCAGUCACCAUAAUUAUGUUACGACCUCGUAACUGAUGGAGUUGAUGUGCCAGUCAGCUUAUGCCACAAACCACAUAAUGGUGUUUGCGCAAAACGACAUCUGAAUUUUUCAUGCACUGUGGAGAGGAGAGUUUAGUCCCUUCUUCCCAAAUGAUGCAGCCGAGACCCAGGGAGACGUCCAGGACCUCGACAGUAUACUUGCUCCGUUGGCGGUUCUUGGAUUGAACAAUAGGAACUUUCACAAAUGCCUCAUUGUGGGGUGGGUGGUAUGGGGCAGGAGCCCGGUCAGUUUUCCUCCAGCCCUCCAGGCAACUGGGCUGUACUCCAACGGGGACACCCACUGUGUUCGCCUGGAACAAAGAUAAUAAGACCGGGAUCUUAAUUCAAGACCAAGGCCUCUUGAUCCCCAGCCCGUGCCGUCAUCCAGGAUGCCAGACCGUGCCUGCGAUGUGUCAGAACCCAAGGGGCCCAACCGGGAAUCCAUAAGCACUUGAGACCUAGCGUUGGGACGUGACCAUUUCAGGUUACUUUUCCCUGGUGCCAUCGAGGUGCCUCGUUCCCGAGUGUGAUGACCAUUGAAGAUCCCGGUCUUGGCCCUACAAAAGGAAAAUGGAAAAUCUGACUCGGAGACCUUCUGUGUGCUUGAGACGCCAACAAGAGAGACUGACAAAGACGGACCCAUCACUGCGUUGGGGACACAGCCGGGCGGCUGGGGAGGAGCAGUUCAGCAGGGGCUCUCGUCCACAAGUCAACCUCUACCGCUUUCCCCGGUGGUGGAAGCAAAGUAGCCCCAGAGGAGUGCCGAUAGGAAGGGUGUCUCCAGCUCCUGCAUUCUCUAGGGCCUGGAUCUUGAGCUCAAAGUAGACCUGGAAGGGGUAGGUGACGAAGCGCCAGAAAACAAGGCACGCUCACAGAGACAACAGCGGGUGGUUAAGAUGGCCACGGUGAACAACGCAACUGAGAAUUCACUCUGCAGAUGCUCCUGGGGCAUGGGCCCCACAAUAUUUAUUGAGCGUUUACUAUGUGUGACGCCGGGCUCUGGUGUUCGGUGGGUGUUGCUGGCGUCCCUGCCUUACGAAGGCUCUGGCGUCACAGAAGCGGCUGUGGUUGGGUAGACUUACGUUUCUGCGAAUGGAGUAUCACCCCUUCGUGAGCAAACUUUGAUUCCACAGAAGCGGACGCCGCAGGCAGAGGCAGCGUGCCCACGACGUGCUUUUGUGGAAUGAGAGCCAUAUUAUCGGUCCGCUGUUGGCGCAAGCCAGUCCUGCCCGUGGGCACCAAGCCGCAAAGGGCGUUCCUCGUACCCGCCGGACGGCACCCCCCCGCACGAAAGUCCCAGGUGAUAGUAGCCACCGGAUACUCGCUGUCGGAGGCCGGAAUGGACCCGGAAGAACUGGCCUCUCCCGAUACCCUUGCAGGCCGAGCUCCCCAAAACUGCAGGAAGAGAACCAGAGAGGUGCUUCCUUGCCGGGUGGGCGAGGCCAAGUCUUCCUGCUGUGCUCGCGGGCACCGCCCGAGGUCUCCAUGCCAGCUCCUGCUGGGCUGCAGAUGCCAUGUGCGGGCCCCAUUCCCUGGGGGGGUGGAGAAGCUGCUUGGUGAAUAAUCAGGAUGAUGAAUCACGCCCCUUCUUUCUCGUGUGUGCGUGCCGAGGAGACGUGCGCAGUCCUCCCGUUCUCACUGCUUGUGCUGCGGGCAGAUUACCCGCCGGGGGAGCGCUGAGGGUAAUUAAAGAUGUGUACCGCAGGCUGGCACUGCCCAGGCGUCCAGGGAGCGUUUGGAGAGAGCGCGUGUCUCUGUGACACUGUGGCAACCGUGUCAGACAGAGCCUCACGGCGAUGGAUCUGGAAGUUCCCGUGCUGGCCAGGAACAUUCCCGGGAACGCGGCAGUGGUGAAGCAUGAAGUCACGGGGCUGUUGUUC